rnacentral:rRNA from 1 species
UACGUAGGGUGCGAGCGUUGUCCGGAAUUAUUGGGCGUAAAGGGCUCGUAGGCGGUUUGUCGCGUCGGGAGUGAAAACCUCGGGCUUAACUCGGGGCUUGCUUUCGAUACGGGCAGACUGGAGGUAUGCAGGGGAGAACGGAAUUCCUGGUGUAGCGGUGAAAUGUGCAGAUAUCAGGAGGAACACCGGUGGCGGAGGCGGUUCUCUGGGCAUGACCUGACGCUGAGGAGCGAAAGUGUGGGGAGCGAACAGG